GUCGGGAAUUUUGCGCAAUGGACGAAAGUCUGACGCAGCAACGCCGCGUGAGGGAUGAAGGCCUUCGGGUUGUAAACCUCUUUUGUCAGGGAAGAUGAUGACGGUACCUGGCGAAUAAGUCACGGCUAACUACGUGCCAGCAGCCGCGGUAAUACGUAGGUGACAAGCGUUGUCCGGAUUUACUGGGCGUAAAGAGCGCGCAGGCGGUCGGUCAAGUCGAGUGUGAAAGCCCCCGGCUCAACUGGGGAGGGUCAUUCGAUACUGAUCGACUUGAAGGCAGGAGAGGGUAGUGGAAUUCCCGGUGUAGUGGUGAAAUGCGUAGAUAUCGGGAGGAACACCAGUGGCGAAGGCGACUACCUGGCCUGUUCUUGACGCUGAGGCGCGAAAGCUAGGGGAGCAAACGGGAUUAGAUACCCGGGUAGUCC
rnacentral:rRNA from 1 species